GCACUGGUAGUUCAGUGGUAGAAUUCUUACCUUACAUGCAGGAGACCUGGGUUCGAUUCCCGGUCAGUGCA